UACGUAGGGGGCUAGCGUUGUCCGGAAUCAUUGGGCGUAAAGCGCGUGUAGGCGGUCCGGUAAGUCCGCUGUGAAAGUCGAGGGCUCAACCCUCGAAUGCCGGUGGAUACUGUCGGGCUAGAGUGCGGAAGAGGCGAGUGGAAUUCCUGGUGUAGCGGUGAAAUGCGCAGAUAUCAGGAGGAACACCGGUGGUGUAGACGGCUUUCUGGACCGUAACUGACGCUGAGACACGAAAGCGUGGGUAGCAAACAGG
rnacentral:rRNA from 1 species